UUCCUUCGUGCAGUCGGAGUCAACACGACAAUGACAGAUAAUGAUGGCUGAUGGACUUUGUAAAGAUAAUCCUUCCAGGAGGGUGCGGAUGAAACCGCAGAAUGAUGCAGAAAAACACAUAAGACUGAAAGCUGACAAGGCGGGUCUUAGACAGGUGUAUGUGAACUCUUACAAAGGGCGAGGCAUCUUUGCUUCAAAACCUUUCAGCAAAGGAGAUUUUGUGCUAGAGUACAGAGGGAAACUACAUUCUCCAGACAAUCCUCCUGUCAUCGAAACAUACAGUGAAACUGAAGCAACAUAUCUCUUUGAUUUUCAAUGGAAAGGGAAAUCUUGGUGUAUUGAUGCAUCUCUGGAGGACCAGUCACUUGGAAGUCUGGUGAAUGAUGAGCACAAAACCCCAAAUUGUAAAAUGCGACAAAUUCAAGUGGAUGGCAUGCCGCACCUUUGUCUCUUUGCAAUCAGAGACAUUCUGCCAGGGGAAG